rnacentral:rRNA from 1 species
GGGGAAUAUUGCACAAUGGGCGCAAGCCUGAUGCAGCGACGCCGCGUGGGGGAUGACGGCCUUCGGGUUGUAAACCCCUUUCGCCCGGGACGAAGCGUAAGUGACGGUACCGGGAGAAGAAGCACCGGCCAACUACGUGCCAGCAGCCGCGGUAAUACGUAGGGUGCAAGCGUUGUCCGGAAUUAUUGGGCGUAAAGAGCUCGUAGGCGGUGUGUCACGUCUGCCGUGAAAACCUGCGGCUUAACCGUGGGCGUGCGGUGGAUACGGGCAUCACUUGAGUUCGGUAGGGGAGACUGGAAUUCCUGGUGUAGCGGUGGAAUGCGCAGAUAUCAGGAGGAACACCGGUGGCGAAGGCGGGUCUCUGGGCCGAUACUGACGCUGAGGAGCGAAAGCGUGGGGAGCGAAC